UUGAAAGGGUGAAGGGUCGCCUCCGGCGCAAGCCGGGGGAGGAAAGUCCGAACACCAUAGGGCGCGACGCCGCUUAACUGGGGUUCAGACCCCAGGCAAAGGCGGACGACGGCGUUGAGAAACGCUUCGAUGGACAGUGCCACAGAAAAGUAAACCGCCUCGCCUUUCGCAGCCCGCCGAUGAUUUCCUCAUCGGCGAAGCGGGAUCGGCGAGGCAAGGGUGAAAAGGUGGGGUAAGAGCCCACCGCCCCAAGAGCAAUCGCGGGGGCACGGAAAACCCCGUCCGGUGCAAGGCCAAAUAGGAAACCGAGGAGUGGCCCGCUCCGUGGCGAAAGCCAGGUUUCGGGUAUGACCGCAGAGACAAAUGAUCCUUUCCGUUCCGCCAGGAACGAAGACAGAAUUCGGCUUACAGCCCUUUCAAAACC
rnacentral:RNase_P_RNA from 1 species